GACGAACGCUGGCGGCGUGCUUAACACAUGCAAGUCGAACGGAAAGGCCCUGCUUUUGUGGGGUGCUCGAGUGGCGAACGGGUGAGUAACACUUGAGUAACCUGCCCUUGACUUUGGGAUAACUUCAGGAAACUUGGGCUAAUACCGGAUAGGAGCUCCUGCUGCAUGGUGGGGGUUGGAAAGUUUCGGCGGUUGGGGAUGGACUCGCGGCUUAUCAGCUUGUUGGUGGGGUAGUGGCUUACCAAGGCUUUGACGGGUAGCCGGCCUGAGAGGGUGACCGGCCACAUUGGGAGUGAGAUACGGCCCAGACUCCUACGGGAGGCAACAGUGGGAAUAUUGCACAAUGGGCGGAAGCCUGAUGCAGCAACGCCGCGUGCGGGAUGACGGCCUUCGGGUUGUAAACCGCUUUCGCCUGUGACGAAGCGUGAGUGACGGUAAUGGGUAAAGAAGCACCGGCUAACUACGUG
rnacentral:rRNA from 1 species